UACGGGGGGGGCAAGCGUUGUUCGGAAUUACUGGGCGUAAAGGGCUCGUAGGCGGCCAACUAAGUCAGACGUGAAAUCCCUCGGCUUAACCGGGGAACUGCGUCUGAUACUGGAUGGCUUGAGUUUGGGAGAGGGAUGCGGAAUUCCAGGUGUAGCGGUGAAAUGCGUAGAUAUCUGGAGGAACACCGGUGGCGAAGGCG
rnacentral:rRNA from 1 species